rnacentral:rRNA from 1 species
UACGGAGGGUGCGAGCGUUGUCCGGAAUUACUGGGCGUAAAGGGCGCGUAGGCGGCCUGCUAAGUCGAACGUGAAAUCCCUGGGCUCAACCCAGGAACUGCGUCCGAUACUGGUUGGCUUGAAUCCGGGAGAGGGACGUGGAAUUCCAGGUGUAGCGGUGAAAUGCGUAGAUAUCUGGAGGAACACCGGUGGCGAAGGCGGGUUGCUGGGCCGACACUGACGCUGAUGCGCGAAAGCUAGGGGAGCGAACGGG